GGGAUCGAAGGGCACCGGAGACCAGCUUGCCCUCGCGCUACUAGAGGUCGCGUUCUUCCGCUGCUCCCUUUCGUUCUGUCGGGCGGAGCCUUCUGUGAGCACGGCUGGAUUUGUCUGUGCUACCGUCUCUCUUCUGGGUUUCAAUAAAGUUUUCCUCUUCCUUCCCCUGUACGGAGCUCAAGAUGGCGGCCUCUUGGUCGCCCUUGGUUACCCUGCGCUUAGCGCCGAGCCGGCUGAGAGGAAGAUGUGUCCGGUGCAGGGCUUGGGCCGCUGCUCUCCCCCCUUCGGUCACCGCCCCUGGAAACCCCUUUUGUAAAGCCUAUACAGUUCAGACAGCCAAGAGUAUGUCUCCAACUGCUGCUACAGAGGUUUAUUCAAAAGCUUUAGCUGUUUGCCAUGGACCACUGGACCACUAUGACUUUCUGAUCAAAGCUCGUGAGCUAAAGGACGAUGAACAUCAAAGAAGAGUCAUACAGUGUUUGCAGGAAUUACAUGAGGACCUUAAAGGAUACAGUAUAGAGGCAGAAGGCCUUUUUUCUAAGCUUUUUUCAAGGAGCAAACCUCCAAGGGGCCUGUAUGUUUAUGGAGAUGUUGGUACAGGGAAAACAAUGGUGAUGGACAUGUUUUAUGCUUAUGUGGAAAUGAAGAGGAAAAAACGGGUUCAUUUUCAUGGUUUCAUGCUAGAUGUUCACAAAAGAAUACACCGCCUUAAACAGAGUUUGCCAAAAAGGAAACCAGGAUUUAUGGCUAAAUCAUACGAUCCAAUAGCUCCUAUAGCUGAAGAAAUCAGUGAAGAAGCAUGUCUCUUAUGUUUCGAUGAAUUUCAGGUCACUGACAUUGCUGAUGCCAUGAUUCUGAAACAGCUUUUUGAAAAUCUGUUCAAAAACGGGGUCGUCGUUGUGGCAACAUCCAACAGGCCACCGGAAGAUCUCUAUAAGAAUGGACUCCAAAGAGCUAACUUUGUACCAUUCAUAGCUGUCCUGAAGGAAUACUGUAAUACGGUCCAGCUAGAUUCUGGGAUAGAUUAUCGGAAAAGGGAACUUCCUGCUGCAGGAGAACUCUACUACCUCACAAGUGAAGCUGAUGUGGAGGCUGUCAUGGAUAAGUUGUUUGAUGAGCUGGCUCAGAAACAAAAUGAUUUAACUAGACCAAGGAUUCUAAAAGUGCAAGGCAGAGAGCUGCGGCUGAAUAAAGCCUGUGGAACCGUUGCCGACUGCACAUUUGAAGAGCUAUGUGAAAGACCACUUGGAGCCAGUGACUAUUUGGAACUGUCAAAGAAUUUUGAUACAGUAUUUUUACGAAACAUUCCACAAUUUACCCUGGCAAAGAGGACCCAAGCUCGGAGAUUCAUAACUCUCAUUGAUAACUUUUAUGAUUUCAAGGUGCGCAUAAUUUGCUCUGCAUCAACUCCCAUAUCAAGCUUAUUUUUGUAUGAACAUCAUGACAGUGAGUUGGAGCAAAGCAGAAUACUGAUGGAUGAUUUGGGGCUGAGCCAGAGCACAGCUUCCGGUUCCUGCUUUCCUUCCUCCUCUUGCCAAGCUCCGUGGGAGGUAGGACGGUCCGGACCAGGACCAGGAGACGCCGGCUGGCUUGAGUCCCAGUAAAGCCCAGUGCCUACGGACCUUGGUUUUUCUCACUCAUCCAAGGGGGCUAGCUUGCUGUUUGGAGUCAGACAGACCUGGGGUUAAGUGCCUGCUCUGCCCGUCAACGGCCGCGUGACCCUGGCUGACACUUUAGUGCCCUCUGAAGAAUGAGAGAGGCGACCUGAGGAACCUGCGCAUGAACUUGGAGGCCCAGAUGGUAGCUGUUGUCACCCCUGCACUCCUGCCCCCAGACCCUGGCUGGGGCAGCCCAUUUCCACCUUCAAGCUUCCUCCUGCGGAUCGCUGCCCGGAGUGUUUGUGUUUGUGCUUCUUCUGCAGCAGCGUAAGGGGGGCCCCACGUCCCUCCCCAGCACAAACCUCCCCCUGUGGGGUGGGGCUGCCGAGGAGUGCGGCCAGUUGGCCCUGUGAUGCUGUGAAGAAACGGCCUCCUUCUCUAAGCUGAGUCGUGGCCUCCACUGAGAACCUAGGAUGGAUGCUCA